GGGCGAAUAGCUCAGUUGGUCAGAGCAACCGGUUUACAUCCGGUAGGUCGAGGGUUCAAGUCCUUCUUCGCCCA
rnacentral:tRNA from 1 species